AGUUCUGCUAUUCCUAAGCAUUUUCAGUUCUCAUUGAAGCUGCAGAUGUCAGAGGAUGUGGCCCUUCAAAUGGACUGAUCAUUUUUGUAGAGUGUGUACAAGUGGAUGUACAGAAGGUAAAAUAAGGAAGAAAGUACAGGACUCCAGGUGCAAGAAGCUGAGCACUGCCCUCACAUGGUCCUGUUGGUCCAGAGAGAUGUUACAGCAGGCAGAUGAAACUCCUCUGUGUUCAUAAAAGGAUAC